rnacentral:rRNA from 1 species
UACGUAGGUGGCAAGCGAUACUCGGAAUCACUAGGCGUAAAGCGCAGGUAGGAGGUUUAGUAAGUCUGUUGUGAAAGCUCCCGGCUUAACUGGGAGAGGUCAACGGAAACUGCUAAGCUAGAGUGCGGUAGAGGUAGCUGGAAUUCCCGGUGUAGCGGUGAAAUGCGUAGAUAUCGGGAGGAAUACCUAUGGCGAAAGCAGGCUACUGGACCGUCACUGACUCUGAUCUGCGAAAGCUAGGGGAGCAAACAGG